AACGAACGCUGGCGGCAUGCCUAACACAUGCAAGUCGGACGAGACCUUCGGGUCUAGUGGCGCACGGGUGCGUAACGCGUGGGAACCUGCCCUUAGGUUCGGAAUAACUCCCCGAAAGGGGUGCUAAUACCGGAUAAUGCCUUCGGACCAAAGAUUUAUCGCCUUUGGAUGGGCCCGCGUUGGAUUAGCUAGUUGGUAGGGUAAAAGCCUACCAAGGCGACGAUCCAUAGCUGGUCUGAGAGGAUGAUCAGCCACACUGGGACUGAGACACGGCCCAGACUCCUACGGGAGGCAGCAGUGGGGAAUAUUGGACAAUGGGCGAAAGCCUGAUCCAGCAAUGCCGCGUGAGUGAUGAAGGCCUUAGGGUUGUAAAGCUCUUUUACCCGGGAUGAUAAUGACAGUACCGGGAGAAUAAGCUCCGGCUAACUCCGUG
rnacentral:rRNA from 1 species